rnacentral:rRNA from 1 species
CGCGUAGGCGGUCUUGUUAGUCAGAUGUGAAAGCCCGGGGCUUAACCCCGGAAGUGCAUUUGAUACUGCAAGACUUGAGUAUGGGAGGGGGAAGUGGAAUUCCUGGUGUAGAGGUGAAAUUCGUAGAUAUCAGGAGGAACACCAGUGGCGAAGGCGACUUCCUGGACCAAUACUGACGCUGAGGCGCGAAGGCGUGGGGAGCAAACAGGAUUAGAUACCCUGGUAGUCC